AGAGUUUGAUCCUGGCUCAGGAUGAACGCUAGCGACAGGCUUAACACAUGCAAGUCGAGGGGCAUCAUGAGGUAGCAAUACCUUGAUGGCGACCGGCGCACGGGUGAGUAACGCGUAUGCAACCUGCCGAUGACUCGGGGAUAGCCCAUGGAAACGUGGAUUAACACCCCAUAGUACUUUUAUCCUGCAUGGGAUGUGAGUUAAAUGUUUAAGGUAUCGGAUGGGCAUGCGUCCUAUUAGUUAGUUGGCGGGGUAACAGCCCACCAAGACGAUGAUAGGUAGGGGUUCUGAGAGGAAGGUCCCCCACAUUGGAACUGAGACACGGUCCAAACUCCUACGGGAGGCAGCAGUGAGGAAUAUUGGUCAAUGGACGAGAGUCUGAACCAGCCAAGUCGCGUGAGGGAAGACUGCCCUAUGGGUUGUAAACCUCUUUUAUAAGGGAAGAAUAAGUUCUACGUGUAGAAUGAUGCCUGUACCUUAUGAAUAAGCAUCGGCUAACUCCGUGCCAGCAGCCGCGGUAAUACGGAGGAUGCGAGCGUUAUCCGGAUUUAUUGGGUUUAAAGGGUGCGUAGGCGGUUUAUUAAGUUAGUGGUUAAAUAUUUGAGGCUAAACCGUCAAUUGUGCCAUUAAUACUGGUAAACUGGAGUACAGACGAGGUAGGCGGAAUAAGUUAAGUAGCGGUGAAAUGCAUAGAUAUAACUUAGAACUCCGAUAGCGAAGGCAGCUUACCAGACUGUAACUGACGCUGAUGCACGAGAGCGUGGGUAGCGAACAGGAUUAGAUACCCUGGUAGUCCACGCCGUAAACGAUGCUCACUGGUUCUGUGCGAUAUAUUGUACGGGAUUAAGCGAAAGUAUUAAGUGAGCCACCUGGGGAGUACGUCGGCAACGAUGAAACUCAAAGGAAUUGACGGGGGCCCGCACAAGCGGAGGAACAUGUGGUUUAAUUCGAUGAUACGCGAGGAACCUUACCUGGGUUUAAAUGGGAAAUGUCGUAUUUGGAAACAGAUAUUCUCUUCGGAGCGUUUUUCAAGGUGCUGCAUGGUUGUCGUCAGCUCGUGCCGUGAGGUGUCGGGUUAAGUCCCAUAACGAGCGCAACCCUUACCGUUAGUUGCUAGCAUGUAAUGAUGAGCACUCUAACGGGACUGCCACCGUAAGGUGAGAGGAAGGCGGGGAUGACGUCAAAUCAGCA
rnacentral:rRNA from 1 species